UCCCCUCCCCCCCCACCAGGCCGUCCUUGGCCGAGUGGUGCUGCCGCUGGUGCCGCCGCCGGACCUCCUUAGCCGCUGCAGCCCACGCCCGCGAUGACCCUGCUGUCAGCCUCAGGGGACACUGCGGCCUCUGCCACGAGCCCGGGAGCCCGACGCCCAAAGGUCACUGGACCUGUGGUGCAGCUCUGGGACCCUGCUGUGCCGGCCACCAGGCCAGGUGCUGGAGAGCCAUUCCGGAGGACAGUCAAGGCGCCUGUGUCCAAAGCUGAAAUCAGAAGAGACGGACAACAAACACUGAUUCAGAAGGCGCUUCCAGACAGAGAAAAGCGUCUGAAGAGAGAUGGCAGGCAAAGUGAUGAACAGGAAAACGGGAGACGAUGAAGCAGGAGAGGAAGAAUGAGGGGCCCGCGUCUCUCUUGGUUCUGUGGUGAGACCCCUCCCCUUGCGGUGAAGGAGGGAUCAACACGGCGAGAACCUACGGACUUUUAAUAAGUGGAUUUUCCAGAAGCCACGUGACGCGUGACAACCUCUUGGCUCAGAUGCGGUGGAAUGCAGCUCGCUGUUCUUAUGUUCUGCAGAGCGUUCUAGGUUGACUCAUUGGCUUAACGAUGGGAGAUUUGGAGGGUCCGCUUUCUCGAGCCACAGCUGCACCGAUUUCGAACAAAGAACCGAGAAACGUGAGCGGCUGUAGCACGGCGUUGCUCACUCACAAAGGGAGACGUCUGAUGGGGGGAGAACCUGGUUGGAACUGCAGGCCAGGCUUGCUCACGGGACUAUUGCACGUCUGUGGGAAGAGAAGUGAGUUCAAAGUGAAGGAAUGUGCGUGGGCACACCCGUGCGCCGAGAACGGUGAUUAUGCUAACGAGCGUCCUGAGGAUGCGGCCCCGCGGCCGCCGUCCUUCUGACUCAGGUUGAGCGGCCGCCUUCCGAGGUGCUGUCAGCUUUGCACGUGCUGUCCUUCAGCCCCACUGUCUUCCCGUCCUGUUCGAGCGCAGUUGUUUUCCUGAGGCCUCAGGGUGGGAUUGAUUUACUGAGCCUGGUAAACCCCAUCUGCUAGCUUCAGACUGUCAUUCUCACCUGCCGCGGUCAUUGUGGUUGUGGACUUUGUCAUCUGCCCUUCCGCCCUGCUCUCCUGGGUUUGUGUCCUCUUCAUAUUUGAUAUCUCUGUCCCUCCGUCCACCCAUCCGUCCCUCUGUCUGUCCAGCGACUUUCUAUAGUGUACCCUGCUGUGUGCAGCCUCUGUGCUAAGCUCUGGGUACAGGGGUGAGCAGAACAGAAAGGAAUCUGGGUUCUCCUGGAGCUUUCACUGGGUAGAGAAGACAGACACUAAACCAAGAUGCACGGGUUACGGGGACGGCAUGGUACUGACAGGUGCCACAGAGAAAAGGAAAGCGGGGACAACGGAUGGGGUGGGGGCAGCCAGAGAAAACCGUGCGGAAGGGUAGUGUCCGUGCGGAGACUGGAGGGUGUUUCUAUCCAGUUCUUUGGAAAACACGGUGAAGAGGGAUUCAGCCUCUCUGUAGGUUGACGUUAAUGCAGUAACUGGCACCUUUGGGGUUCACCUGACUUUCUACUGAAACUCUAUACCUUCAGUGUCUAACCUGCAUUUCUCCACACUCUUCUGUU